CAGCAGCCGCGGUAAUACGUAGGUGGCAAGCGUUGUCCGGAAUUAUUGGGCGUAAAGGGCUCGCAGGCGGUUUCUUAAGUCUGAUGUGAAAGCCCCCGGCUCAACCGGGGAGGGUCAUUGGAAACUGGGAAACUUGAGUGCAGAAGAGGAGAGUGGAAUUCCACGUGUAGCGGUGAAAUGCGUAGAGAUGUGGGGGAACACCAGUGGCGAAGGCGACUCUCUGGUCUGUAACUGACGCUGAGGAGCGAAAGCGUGGGGAGCGAACAGGAUUAGAUACCCGAGUAGUCCCUGUCUCUUAUAC
rnacentral:rRNA from 1 species